GAGUGGCGGACGGGUGAGUAACGCGUGGGUAACCUGCCUUAUACAGGGGGAUAACAGUUAGAAAUGACUGCUAAUACCGCAUAAGCGCACAGGAUUGCAUGAUCUGGUGUGAAAAACUCCGGUGGUAUAAGAUGGACCCGCGUCUGAUUAGCUGGUUGGUGAGGUAACGGCCCACCAAGGCGACGAUCAGUAGCCGACCUGAGAGGGUGACCGGCCACAUUGGGACUGAGACACGGCCCAAACUCCUACGGGAGGCAGCAGUGGGGAAUAUUGCACAAUGGGGGAAACCCUGAUGCAGCGACGCCGCGUGGAGGAAGAAGGUCUUCGGAUUGUAAACUCCUGUUGUUGAGGAAGAUAAUGACGGUACUCAACAAGGAAGUGACGGCUAACUACGUGCCAGCAGCCGCGGUAAAACGUAGGUCACAAGCGUUGUCCGGAAUUACUGGGUGUAAAGGGAGCGCAGGCGGGAAGACAAGUUGGAAGUGAAAUCCAUGGGCUCAACCCAUGAACUGCUUUCAAAACUGUUUUUCUUGAGUAGUGCAGAGGUAGGCGGAAUUCCCGGUGUAGCGGUGGAAUGCGUAGAUAUCGGGAGGAACACCAGUGGCGAAGGCGGCCUACUGGGCACCAACUGACGCUGAGGCUCGAAAGUGUGGGUAGCAAACAGGAUUAGAUACCCUGGUAGUCCACACUGUAAACGAUGAUUACUAGGUGUUGGAGGAUUGACCCCUUCAGUGCCGCAGUUAACACAAUAAGUAAUCCACCUGGGGAGUACGACCGCAAGGUUGAAACUCAAAGGAAUUGACGGGGGCCCGCACAAGCAGUGGAGUAUGUGGUUUAAUUCGACGCAACGCGAAGAACCUUACCAAGUCUUGACAUCCUGCGACGCACAUAGAAAUAUGUGUUUCCUUCGGGACGCAGAGACAGGUGGUGCAUGGUUGUCGUCAGCUCGUGUCGUGAGAUGUUGGGUUAAGUCCCGCAACGAGCGCAACCCUUAUGGUCAGUUACUACGCAAGAGGACUCUGGCCAGACUGCCGUUGACAAAACGGAGGAAGGUGGGGAUGACGUCAAAUCAUCAUGCCCUUUAUGACUUGGGCUACACACGUACUACAAUGGCGUUAAACAAAGAGAAGCAAGACCGCGAGGUGGAGCAAAACUCAGAAACAACGUCCCAGUUCGGACUGCAGGCUGCAACUCGCCUGCACGAAGUCGGAAUUGCUAGUAAUCGCAGAUCAGCAUGCUGCGGUGAAUACGUUCCCGGGCCUUGUACACACCGCCCGUCA
rnacentral:rRNA from 1 species